rnacentral:rRNA from 1 species
GCAAGUGAAAGAAGAGCAGACGGUGAAUGCCUUGGCGCCUAGUGCCGAUGAAGGACGUGAUACACUGCGAAAAGCCUAGACGAGGUGUGUGUGACCGCAAGAGUCUAGGAUGUCCGAAUGGGGAAACCCAACCCGAGUUAUAUCGGGUUAGUCGAAAGACGGGGAACCGGGUGAACUGAAACAUCUAAGUAGCCCGAGGAAAAGAAAGUAUUCUGCGAGUAGUGGCGAGCGAAAGCGGAAAAGCCCAAACCAGUGUGCAUGCACGCUGGGGUUGUAGGACCUCAAUGCCAGAGCGAGAAGUAGAAUGACGUGGGAAAGUCAACCAAAGAGGGUGAGAGUCCCGUAAACGAGAGCAAGGCGAGGUAUCCUGAGUAGUGCGGGACACGAGAAAUCCUGUGCGAAGCUGGGGGGACCACCUUCCAAGGCUAAAUACACUAGCGACCGAUAGAGAAGAGUACCGUGAGGGAAAGGUGAAAAGAACCCCGGCGAGGGGAGUGAAAAGAACCUGAAAGCGUCUGCUUACAACCGGUCGGAGGGGCGAAUGCCCUGACGGCGUGCCUUUAGGAGAAUGAGCCUGCGAGUUAAUGUCAGUGGCAAGCAUAAGGGAGAAGCACCCGGAUGCGAAGCGAAAGCGAGUUUGAAAAGAGCGAAUAAGUUGCUGAGAUUAGACACGAAACCAGGUGAGCUAACCAUGUUCAGGGUGAAAGCAGGGUAACACCUGCGGGAGGCCCGAACUCACAAAUGUUGCAAAAUUUGGGGAUGAGAUGUGGUUAGGGGUGAAAUGCCAAACGAACUUGGAGAUAGCUUGUUCUCCCCGAAAUAGCUUUAGGGCUAGCGUGAUGUGCUGACUGUUGGAGGUAGGGCACUGAAUGGGCUAGGGGGCGUCUAGCUUACCGAACCCACUCAAACCACGAAUACCAAUAGGUGAAACAUUGCAGUCGGGCUACGAGAGAUGAGUUUCGUGGUCGAGAGGGGAAGAACCCAGACCCCCGAUUAAGGUCCCUAAGUGAGUGCUAAGUGUAAAACGAGGUGAUCGUGCAGAGACAGCCAGGAGGUUGGCUUAGAAGCAGCCACCCUUGAAAGAGUGCGUAACAGCUCACUGGUCGAGCGCGAUUGCGCGGAAAAUGUAUCGGGGCUAAAGCACUCCACCGAAAUCAGGGCUUGAGAAAGAGUAGGGGAGCGUUCCGGUGUCGGAGAAGGCAUCCUGAGAGGGGUGUUGGAGAAGCCGGAAGUGAGAAUGUAGGCAUGAGUAGCGAAAAACAUGUGAGAACCAUGUUCGCCGAACAUCUAAGGUUUCCGACGGAAGGUCAGUCCGCGUCGGGUUAGUCGGUCCUAAGCUGAGGCUGAAAGGCGCAGGCGAUGGAUAACAGGUUAAUAUUCCUGUACCAGUAGGUGGAGCAAAGUGGAAAAUCUAGGGGAAACCCAGCCUCUGAGUGGAUUGAGGUGACAAGCGACGAGAGGUCGUGAAGUCGGGCGCAAGCCAGAAGUGGGAGGUACCAGAGAUCGAGAAAAGACACGGAGCGAUGAAGACUACUGACCGUACCAUAAACCGACACAGGUAGAUGGGUAGAAGAUACCGAGGCGAGCGGGAGAACCUUCGUUAAGGAACUAGGCAAAAUAGCCCCGUAACUUCGGAAGAAGGGGCGCCAGAGAUGGCCGCAGAGAAAUGGCUCUAUCGACUGUUUACCAAAAACACAGGUCUCUGCCAACUCGAAAGAGGAAGUAUAGGGGCUGACACCUGCCCAGUGCCGGAAGGUUAAAGGGAGAGGUUAGCGAAAGCGAAGCUUUGAACUGAAGCCCCGGUGAACGGCGGCCGUAACUAUAACGGUCCUAAGGUAGCGAAAUUCCUUGUCGGGUAAGUUCCGACCCGCACGAAAGGUGUAACGAGUGGAGCACUGUCUCAACGAGGGACCCGGCGAAAUUGAAGUACGCGUCAAAAUGCGUGUUACCCGCAGCAGGACAAAAAGACCCCGUGGAGCUUUACUGUAGCUUGACAUUGCGUUAGGAGUCAGCAUGUGUGAAGACGUUGAUCCUAGGGUUUCGGCCUAAGGGGAGUCGCCAAUGAAACACCACCUUUUCUUCAUGAAGAUUCUAACCC